rnacentral:rRNA from 1 species
GGUUAAGCGACUAAGCGUACACGGUGGAUGCCCUGGCAGUCAGAGGCGAUGAAGGACGUGCUAAUCUGCGAUAAGCGUCGGUAAGGUGAUAUGAACCGUUAUAACCGGCGAUUUCCGAAUGGGGAAACCCAGUGUGAUUCGUCACACUAUCAUUAACUGAAUCCAUAGGUUAAUGAGGCGAACCGGGGGAACUGAAACAUCUAAGUACCCCGAGGAAAAGAAAUCAACCGAGAUUCCCCCAGUAGCGGCGAGCGAACGGGGAGCAGCCCAGAGCCUGAAUCAGUGUGUGUGUUAGUGGAAGCGUCUGGAAAGGCGUGCGAUACAGGGUGACAGCCCCGUACACAAAAAUGCACAUGCUGUGAGCUCGAUGAGUAGGGCGGGACACGUGGUAUCCUGUCUGAAUAUGGGGGGACCAUCCUCCAAGGCUAAAUACUCCUGACUGACCGAUAGUGAACCAGUACCGUGAGGGAAAGGCGAAAAGAACCCCGGCGAGGGGAGUGAAAAAGAACCUGAAACCGUGUACGUACAAGCAGUGGGAGCACGCUUAGGCGUGUGACUGCGUACCUUUUGUAUAAUGGGUCAGCGACUUAUAUUCUGUAGCAAGGUUAACCGAAUAGGGGAGCCGAAGGGAAACCGAGUCUUAACUGGGCGUUAAGUUGCAGGGUAUAGACCCGAAACCCGGUGAUCUAGCCAUGGGCAGGUUGAAGGUUGGGUAACACUAACUGGAGGACCGAACCGACUAAUGUUGAAAAAUUAGCGGAUGACUUGUGGCUGGGGGUGAAAGGCCAAUCAAACCGGGAGAUAGCUGGUUCUCCCCGAAAGCUAUUUAGGUAGCGCCUCGUGAAUUCAUCUCCGGGGGUAGAGCACUGUUUCGGCAAGGGGGUCAUCCCGACUUACCAACCCGAUGCAAACUGCGAAUACCGGAGAAUGUUAUCACGGGAGACACACGGCGGGUGCUAACGUCCGUCGUGAAGAGGGAAACAACCCAGACCGCCAGCUAAGGUCCCAAAGUCAUGGUUAAGUGGGAAACGAUGUGGGAAGGCCCAGACAGCCAGGAUGUUGGCUUAGAAGCAGCCAUCAUUUAAAGAAAGCGUAAUAGCUCACUGGUCGAGUCGGCCUGCGCGGAAGAUGUAACGGGGCUAAACCAUGCACCGAAGCUGCGGCAGCGACGCUGAUGCGUUGUUGGGUAGGGGAGCGUUCUGUAAGCCUGCGAAGGUGUGCUGUGAGGCAUGCUGGAGGUAUCAGAAGUGCGAAUGCUGACAUAAGUAACGAUAAAGCGGGUGAAAAGCCCGCUCGCCGGAAGACCAAGGGUUCCUGUCCAACGUUAAUCGGGGCAGGGUGAGUCG